rnacentral:rRNA from 1 species
UACGGAGGUUGCAAGCGUUGUUCGGAAUAACUGGGCGUAAAGGGAGCGCAGGCGGCUUGGUAAGUCUAAAGUGAAAUUCCAGGGCUCAACCCUGGACGUGCUUUGGAUACUGCCUGGCUUGAGUACGUGAGAGGAGAUUGGAAUUCCAGGUGUAGCGGUGAAAUGCGUAGAUAUCUGGAGGAACACCGGUGGCGAAAGCGGAUCUCUGUCACGUUACUGACGCUGAGGCUCGAAAGCGUGGGGAGCAAACGGG